UUUGAUCCUGGCUCAGGACGAACGCUGGCGGCGUGCCUAAUACAUGCAAGUCGAGCGAAUCGAUGGGAGCUUGCUCCCUGAGAUUAGCGGCGGACGGGUGAGUAACACGUGGGCAACCUGCCUAUAAGACUGGGAUAACUUCGGGAAACCGGAGCUAAUACCGGAUACGUUCUUUUCUCGCAUGAGAGAAGAUGGAAAGACGGUUUACGCUGUCACUUAUAGAUGGGCCCGCGGCGCAUUAGCUAGUUGGUGAGGUAAUGGCUCACCAAGGCGACGAUGCGUAGCCGACCUGAGAGGGUGAUCGGCCACACUGGGACUGAGACACGGCCCAGACUCCUACGGGAGGCAGCAGUAGGGAAUCUUCCGCAAUGGACGAAAGUCUGACGGAGCAACGCCGCGUGAACGAAGAAGGCCUUCGGGUCGUAAAGUUCUGUUGUUAGGGAAGAACAAGUACCAGAGUAACUGCUGGUACCUUGACGGUACCUAACCAGAAAGCCACGGCUAACUACGUGCCAGCAGCCGCGGUAAUACGUAGGUGGCAAGCGUUGUCCGGAAUUAUUGGGCGUAAAGCGCGCGCAGGUGGUUCCUUAAGUCUGAUGUGAAAGCCCACGGCUCAACCGUGGAGGGUCAUUGGAAACUGGGGAACUUGAGUGCAGAAGAGGAAAGUGGAAUUCCAAGUGUAGCGGUGAAAUGCGUAGAGAUUUGGAGGAACACCAGUGGCGAAGGCGACUUUNNGGUCUGUAACGACANNA
rnacentral:rRNA from 2 species